rnacentral:rRNA from 1 species
GGAUGAGCCCGCGGCCUAUCAGCUUGUUGGUGAGGUAAUGGCUCACCAAGGCAUUGACGGGUAGCCGGCCUGAGAGGGUGACCGGCCACACUGGGACUGAGACACGGCCCAGACUCCUACGGGAGGCAGCAGUGGGGAAUGUUGGACAAUGGGCGAAAGCCUGAUCCAGCAACGCCGCGUGAGGGAUGACGGCCUUCGGGUUGUAAACCUCUUUCACCUGUGACGAAGCGAAAGUGACGGUAGCAGGAGAAGAAGCACCGGCCAACUACGUGCCAGCAGCCGCGG